UGUUGUCCCUGGUCUGAUCGCCUCUACAUCAAAUUACAUGUACAUUGUGUUUAGAACUGAUAGCUAUAAUACGUAUAGGGGCUUCAAUGCUUCUUAUUAUACACAAUCAAGGACAAAUAACUUAACUGGAUCACAAGGUUUUAUUAUUAGUCCAGGAUUUCCUCUUGGUUACCCUAACAACCAGUACAUCACCUGGAGAAUUGAUAGUGUUUCUGGGACAUUUAUCAUUUUAAAUAUCAGAUUAUCUGACUUUGGGCCACUAACGACAAACUGCAGUAAUGACUAUCUUCAAGUCUUUGACGGGUUUUCUAGUAGCUCAAGACAGUUGGCUACACUGUGUGGAAACGUUGUCCCUGGUCUGAUCACCUCUACAUCAAAUUACAUGUACAUUGUGUUUAAAACGGAUAGCUACAAUAACUAUAGGGGAUUCAAUGCUUCUUAUUUUACCUACACAACGACAAAUAUCAUUUCUGGAUCACAAGGACUUAUUAUUAGCCCAGGCUUUCCUAUUGGUUAUCUCAACAGCAGUCACAUUACUUGGACACUUAACGGAUCU